CGCGUAGGCGGUUUGUUAAGUCAGCUGUGAAAGCCCUGGGCUCAACCUGGGAACUGCAGUUGAUACUGGCCGACUAGAGUACGAGAGAGGGAGGUAGAAUUCCACGUGUAGCGGUGAAAUGCGUAGAUAUGUGGAGGAAUACCAGUGGCGAAGGCGGCCUCCUGGCUCGAUACUGACGCUGAGGUGCGAAAGCGUGGGGAGCAAACA
rnacentral:rRNA from 1 species